rnacentral:rRNA from 1 species
GAAGUAUGCUGGAGGUAUCAGAAGUGCGAAUGCUGACGUGAGUAACGACAAAACGGGUGAAAAACCCGUUCGCUGAAAGACCAAGGGUUCCAGUCCAACGUUAAUCGGGGCUGGGUGAGUCGACCCCUAAGGCGAGGCCGAGAGGCGUAGUCGAUGGGAAAUUGGUUAAUAUUCCAAUACUUCUGUGUAAUGCGAUGAGAGGACGGAGAAGGUUAAGUCAGCCUGGCGUUGGUUGUCCAGGUGGAAGACCGUAGGCAUGCAUCUUAGGCAAAUCCGGGGUGCUCUAUGCUGAGAGUCGAUAGCAAGCUGUACUUGUACAGUGAAGUGGCUGAUACCAUGCUUCCAGGAAAAGUCUCUAAGCUUCAGUUACACAGGAAUCGUACCCGAAACCGACACAGGUGGUCAGGUCGAGUAGACCAAAGCGCUUGAGAGAACUCUGCUGAAGGAACUAGGCAAAAUGGUACCGUAACUUCGGGAGAAGGUGCGCCCGCGCCAGGUGAAGGCCCCAGCGGCCGGAGCCGAGG